rnacentral:tRNA from 1 species
GCCUUCGGGGUGUAGUGGUCAGCACGCUCGACGCGUAACCGAGAGGUCCGUGGUUCGAUUCCCGGCGAUGGCG